rnacentral:rRNA from 1 species
GACGGCUGUAACUAUAACGGUCCUAAGGUAGCAAAUUUCCUUGUCGUCUUAAUAACGACCUGCAUGAAACAUAGAACGAUUCGAUAGCUGUCUUGCACACACAUCAUGGUAAAAUAUUCAUCAGUACAAAUAAUAUGCUGCCUCAGUAAGCAUCUAACUAAAGGACAAAAAGACCCUUUGAAGCUUUAUAGGGAUAAAACUUGGGUAAGCUCGGUAUUCUGCUUAUUUUCUUUUUCUAAGCGUAGCGUUGUAGUGCUAAAGUAAACAUUAUAAUAAGGAACGAUUAACACCCUAGCUUACUGUUUAAUUGGGGCGAUAACCUUAUAUAAUCCACCUAAGGUGAACAAAGUGAUACAAGGACCCUAAAGUAAUUUGACCAACUAAUAAGUGCAAAGAUACAUGUUUUGCUUAAUGGUCCAAUAAGUCUUUCCCAGUACUUAAAUGCUAUCUUAAUGAGCUUUAAAUUAAUCUACCAACACCAAGCUACUCUACGGAUAACAGGCUUAAUUUCCGCAAUACCCAAGGUCACAUUAUCAAGAAAAAUGCACCUCGAUGUCGGCUUAUCAUCACCAAAAUAUGUAGUCAGCUUAUUGGUGGGAGUGCUCAUCCCGUAAAUCGGUACGUGAGCUGGGUUCAAUACG